AGCGACUGUUUACUUUCCUUUUCUAAUCAAGCACGCUCGUUCUACAUUAUGACACCGACUCGUUCCAGCUAUUAAUUAACUUGUGCGAGUGAAAAAUGGCUAACUAUUCUGCGGUAGCAGGUUCGAUGCGAAAGGCUUUUCUAACAGGAAAAACAAAAUCUUUAGAAUGGAGACGAUCACAGCUACUGGCAUUGUUAAAGAUGUUGGACGAAAACAGAGACCGCUUGACAGAUGCAUUAAUGAAGGACCUGAAUAAGUGUAGGUUCGAAUCAUGCCUGAUGGAAGUGGACUUUGUAAGGAAUGACUUGAUCAAUGCACUCAAUAACCUGUCAGACUGGGCCAAACCAGAAAAGGUAAAGAAAGGUUUGAUCAAUAUUAUGGACAAAGUAUACAUCCGAAAAGAACCAUUUGGUGUGGCACUGAUAAUGGGGGCGUGGAAUUACCCUGUACAACUGACAGUUGCCCCAAUGAUCGGAGCACUAGCUGCAGGUAACUGUGUAUUAAUGAAGCCAUCUGAGGUGUCUGAAAAUGUGGCUAGUUUAUUGGACGAGCUGUUCCCUAAGUACUUUGAUACAGAUUGUAUUAAAUGUGUUUGUGGCGGUAUACCCGAGACAACAGCUCUCCUGAAGGAGAAAUGGGACUAUAUUUUCUAUACAGGGAACUCUUUUGUCGGCAAGAUUGUCAUGAAGGCGGCUGCAGAGCAUCUUACACCAGUCACACUUGAACUGGGAGGAAAAAGCCCAGUGUAUGUGGAUCAAGGUUGUGAUCUAGGCAUAGUGGCCAACAGAAUUUUAUGGGGCAAGGUCACAAAUGCGGGACAAACCUGUGUUGCCCCGGACUAUAUUAUGUGCACUAAGGAAACUCAGGAUGUACUUGUAGAGAAAAUGAAGGCUACUCUGGGAGAGUUUUAUCCCGAGGGGCCCGCCAAGUCACCUUACUAUUGUCGUCUUAUCACUGACAGACAUUACCAGAGAGUAAAGAAGAUGAUAAAUGGGGGAGGUAAAUUGGCUCUAGGAGGUGAGUCUGAUGAUUCACAGAGAUUCAUAGCCCCCACAGUUCUCUCUGAUGUCACAUUUAGUGACCCCAUCAUGCAAGAAGAGGUGUUUGGUCCAGUUUUACCAAUUGUGCCUGUGAAAAAUGAGGAUGAAGCCAUAGCUCACAUCAAUGAAGGCGGUACGGGCACACCUUUAGCGUUAUACGUGUUUUCGAACAACCAGCAACUGAUCCAAAAAAUACUGGAUUCUGUAAACUCGGGUGGCUUCUGUGCUAAUGAUAUUUUAAUGCAAGGAAGCUUGCCAACGUUACCAUUUGGUGGUGUCGGAAACAGCGGUAUGGGAUGUUACCAUGGGAAGUUUUCAUUUGAUACAUUCUCACAUAAACGAGCAUGCAUGGAGAGGGGAUUAAAAAUGGAAAGCGUGAACAGUAUGAGAUACCCACCGUGCACAAGUCAAAAGGAAAAAACUGCCGCAUGGUUGUUGAAAAAGAAGUUGAAAAGCAAUGGACCCAUGUCUUACGUUCCAUACUUCAUUUUUGGAACACUGUUUGCAGUUUUUUUGAAGCUAUACAUGAAAUAUUAUAGAUGAGUAAACAUAGUAAUCUUUAAAAGACAGCAGCUUUGGGGUUUAUGUUUCAAGAUGGCAAUUUCUUAAGAUUUUCUUUGCUCCUGAGUCAUCCAUCUACAAUAUUUUUUCAAAAUAAAGGCUUGAAUAAUUGGAGGAAACGCCAAAAA